CGGAUACAAACCUGAAGAGCUUCAGUCGUUAUUUCAAUUUAAUUGAGGUUUUCUGCAGAAAUGUGUGUGGAUUAGGUCUGGGCGACAAAAAUCUCACCUUAUGAUUUACUAUGGAGAGCGGUGGAUCGCCACAUGCAGAGGACUCUCGAUGUGUUGAUAGAGAUGAGGGCUGCUGGACAGAUCAGAAAUGCUGGCUUUUGACAGACGCUGCACAGAUCUUCCUCUCCAGAUCAGCAGCUGAGGAACAUCUGGAGACACUGAGCUGCAGGAACAACGCUGAGGAAACUGUCGCACCUCUUCGUUUAGGGGCUGCUCCCAAACGCACAUUCGCAUGAAAAAUCCUUAUUGAAACGCAAGGGGGCGCCUUACACAAAUCUUGUUUGGGCACAAGUAGGCUACGACCCUCGGGCUCUUGUUUCACCACAAAGGAUGCUCUCAGUGAACCUCAAUCAAGCCGCUGUCUGCUGUCCGCAGUUAUCGGCCCUGAUCUCCAGGUGCAUCGUAGACGAGGGUCAGAAGGUUCGAGGCUUCAUAAUGGACACAAAAGCACAAAGCAUGCGGACGGGCGUGAUGCUCCGCUACCUGAUAUCAAAGCCAGCAGCCUCUGCAUGAGAGGAGAUGGGCCUCGAACAGUCGGAGAAAAACCCAAAGAGGAGCAUGCGCUUCAGGGUUUGAAGUGACGCCAUCUAUUUAUAAAAACAACAAUUACGUUUUACAUUACAAUGCGCAUGAUACAAAUUUGACGUGUUACAAUUAAUAACAAAAGAAGAGAUAACGCGUAAUUGCUUGGUGCCAUUCAUUACGAAGUGACGUGUUUUGAUCUGUAUAUUGUAAUCGUGGUUAAUGUAAACACUACGACUGCAAGUGUGGAAUAAUAAAUGCUGCUGUAAAAAGUAAAAA
ensembl:processed_transcript